UGUUUUAGAUCAAUUAAUUGUUUUAUACAUGUCUUCUCACAUUUUGUUCUUCUCACAUAAGAGAGGGGGGGGGGGGGCAUUAUUUUUCCGGGUUAUGGCAAAGCAGGGUCACAAAAUUUCAUUCCUUAAAAUUUUGAAUUACACCUCCCCACCCACCCCCUAAUACAGUAAUACAGGCUGUUUGUAACAAGUAUCGGUUGACACACUUGGUGAGAUUUUUACCCUUAUCCUCAAUUUUUGGUACCCGUACCAUUUUUAUACCAAGCACCAAUUACAGGAAAUGUUUCGAAUAAAUUUAAGAGGUUGGACUACAUUGAUUGAAAUUUACCGUAUAUUCACAUUUUACUUAUAGCUAGUAUAUAUUAUACAAAUAAUGAAUGUUUAUGAGUGCAAUGGUAAGAAUAUUUUCAUGAGGUGAAAGAUGGAAUGUUCCAUUCAACGAGGCGACAGCCGAGUUGAAUGGAACAUUCCAUCUUUCACCGAAUGAAAAUAUUCUUACCAUUGCACGAAUAAAAACAUUCAUUAUUUGUUUUAUAUAAUACCAAAAUAGACUAAUAUUAAAAGGUUUACUGUAAGCUUUCACCAUUUUGAGGAGUCGUAUUUGCAUUAAAUCCCAUUUACUGAGUUUCGAAUAUCGGGUUAAAAUAAACUGCGAUCACCGUACGAGAAGCAUUUUGACGGAUGCGAUUUAUCGAAAACACAAAGAGUGCAAUGGAACAAAAUGUAUAGUACAAUUGCACUCGCAAGAGUGCAAUGGAAUGCAUUCCAUUGCACUCUUGGGAAAUGGAAUUUUCUAUUCAAUAUCACGUGACCAUAAACAGCCAAUUACACAAUCAGAAUCAAUAAGGUAUUAUAUAAUAUGGUCUAUUAUAAUUAUUUGUUUACAAGUUUAUUUAUCAAAUUAGAAUUGAAUAAAUUUAUUUCGAUAUUUGUAACAAGCAUACAGCACAAAUCAUAAUUGAGUAAUAUACAAUAUUAUACUUUAUAUUUAAUGUUAUUUAUUGAAGUAACAAGAUUAAAACAG